rnacentral:tRNA from 1 species
AAAGGGAGACCUAAUUCAGGUAGGAGACGAAAAAAAAGUAGUCCCUACCAAGAAUCAAUCCCAAAAGGUCGGAGCGAGGCAAAAUUGGCUUUCAAACUAGGUUCUGGGUUCACACAAGACCUGAAUCAGGAACAAGGGCUAUUAGCUCAGGUGGUUAGAGCGCACCCCUGAUAAGGGUGAGGUCCCUGGUUCGAGUCCAGGAUGGCCCACCUGUACAGGUGGCAAAAACAAAGAAAAGAAGCGAGGAAUCAGCACCUUAUCUUACUUAUAUAGUAAGAGAGAAUGCUGGCUCUGAGUACAGAGUCCAGAGGAACCUUGAAAACUGCAUAGAGCUAGGUGAAAAAGCCAAAAAAGAAGACCGCAAG